GGACCUUGGUUUGUGGAGAGACUUAAAUGAAUUGAUUUGUCACCUAUGUCACCAAAGUGCACUUAUCUUUUCGACCAAGAGUCCUGAGAAAAGCGUGCUUAUCCUGGAGUAGUCCAAGGAUGGAUGACCUUCUGGGAAAUGAUUGUCUGAACUAUGUGAGUGAGGUCAAAACACAGGGAAAGAUCAUGUGGUGAUUUUUACGAUCGGUAAAC
rnacentral:lncRNA from 1 species